rnacentral:rRNA from 1 species
UACAGAGGGGGCAAGCGUUAUUCGGAAUUAUUGGGCGUAAAGGGCGCGUAGGCGGCCUGGCAAGUGGAUGGUGAAAUCCCUCGGCUUAACCGAGGAACUGCCAUCCAGACUGCUUGGCUUGAGACCGGAAGAGGAGAGCGGAAUUCCCGGUGUAGCGGUGAAAUGCGUAGAGAUCGGGAGGAAGGCCGGUGGCGAAGGCGGCUCUCUGGGACGUCCCUGACACUGAGGCGCGAAAGCAUGGGGAGCGAACAGG